rnacentral:rRNA from 1 species
UAGGGAAUUUUCCGCAAUGGGCGCAAGCCUGACGGAGCAACGCCGCGUGAGGGAUGAAGGUCUUCGGAUCGUAAACCUCUUUGGAGCGAGACGAAUGUGUUCCCGGUGAACAAUCGGGGACAGUGACUGUAUCGCUAGAACAAGUCACGGCUAACUCUGUGCCAGCAGCCGCGGUAAUACAGAGGUGACGAACGUUGUCCGGAAUUAUUGGGCGUAAAGGGCGCGUAGGUGGUCAGGUAAGUCAGGUGUGAAAGCUCUGGGCUUAACCCAGGAAUUGCAUCUGAUACUGCUUGGCUUGAGUACGGUAGAGGAGGGUGGAAUUCCCAGUGUAGCGGUGAAAUGCGUAGAUAUUGGGAGGAACACCGGUGGCGAAGGCGGCCCUCUGGACCGAAACUGACACUGAAGCGCGAAAGCUAGGGGAGCAAACGG